rnacentral:rRNA from 1 species
CCUACGGGUGGCAGCAGUGAGGAAUCUUGCGCAAUGGGGGAAACCCUGACGCAGCAACGCCGCGUGAGUGAUGAAGGCCUUCGGGUCGUAAAGCUCUGUCAGAUGGGAAGAAAGUUUCGGCGGUGAACAAUCGCCGGGAUUGACGGUACCGUCAGAGGAAGCACCGGCUAACUCCGUGCCAGCAGCCGCGGUAAUACGGAGGGUGCAAGCGUUGUUCGGAAUCAUUGGGCGUAAAGAGCGUGUAGGCGGUCGGGUAAGUCAGAUGUGAAAUCCCUUGGCU